UUUCAUUGAUGAUAACAUUGUCCAGUUCUGCUACUGAAUGAAAGGUGAUGCAGUUUAAGACUCUGAGAAGA